CAGCCGCCGCGGUAAUACCAGCUCUUCAAGUGGUCGGGAUAAUUAUUGGGCUUAAAGUGUCCGUAGCCGGUUUAGUAAGUUCCUGGUAAAAUCAGGUAGCUUAACUAUCUGUAUGCUAGGAAUACUGCUAUACUAGAGGGCGGGAGAGGUCUGAGGUACUACAGGGGUAGGGGUGAAAUCUUAUAAUCCUUGUAGGACCACCAGUGGCGAAGGCGUCAGACUGGAACGCGCCUGACGGUGAGGGACGAAAGCCAGGGGAGCGAACCGGAUUAGAUACCCGGGUAGUCCUGGCCGUAAACGAUGCAUACUAGGUGAUGGUACGGCCAUGAGCCGUGUCAGUGCCGUAGGGAAACCGUUAAGUGUGCCGCCUGGGAAGUACGGUCGCAAGGCUAAAACUUAAAGGAAUUGGCGGGGGAGCACCACAAGGGGUGAAGCCUGCGGUUCAAUUGGACUCAACGCCGGGAAACUUACCAGGGGAGACAGUAGAAUGAAGGUCAGGUUGACGCCCUUACCCGACGAGCUGAGAGGAGGUGCAUGGCCGUCGCCAGUUCGUGCCGUGAGGUAUCCUGUUAAGUCAGGCAACGAACGAGAUCCGCACCUUUAUUUGCCAGCAAGAAGUCACGACUUCGUUGGGAACACUAAAGGGACUGCCAUCGAUAAGAUGGAGGAAGGAGCGGGCAAAGGCAGGUCAGUAUGCCCCGAAACCCCUGGGCUACACGCGGGCUGCAAUGAUAUGAACAAUGGGCUGUGACUCCGAAAGGAGAAACCAAUCCCGAAAUCAUAUCUCAGUNGGGAUUGUCGGCUGUAACCCGCUGACAUGAACGUGGAAUCCCUAGUAAUCGUGUGUCAUCAUCGCACGGUGAAUACGUCUCUGCUCCUUGCACACACCGCCCGUCGCUCCAUCCGAGUGUACUAAAAAUGAGGUUUGGUCAAUUUGGUCAUAUCGAGUUUCUAGUAUGCGAGGAGGGAGAAGUCGUAACAAGGUAACCGUA
rnacentral:rRNA from 1 species